rnacentral:rRNA from 1 species
CGAACGCUGGCGGCAGGCUUAACACAUGCAAGUCGAGCGGGCACUUUCGGGUGUCAGCGGCGGACGGGUGAGUAACGCGUGGGAACGUGCCCUCUGGUUCGGAAUAACUCAGGGAAACUUGAGCUAAUACCGCAUACGCCCUUUUGGGGAAAGGCUUGCUGCCGGAGGAUCGGCCCGCGUCUGAUUAGCUAGUUGGUGAGGUAACGGCUCACCAAGGCGACGAUCAGUAGCUGGUCUGAGAGGAUGAUCAGCCACACUGGGACUGAGACACGGCCCAGACUCCUACGGGAGGCAGCAGUGGGGAAUAUUGGACAAUGGGCGCAAGCCUGAUCCAGCCAUGCCGCGUGAGUGAUGAAGGCCUUAGGGUUGUAAAGCUCUUUUAUCCGGGACGAUAAUGACGGUACCGGAGGAAUAAGCCCCGGCUAACUUCGUG